GCGGGCGUAGCUCACCCUGGUAGAGCGCAACCUUCCCAAGGUUGAGGUAGGGAGUUCGAGGCUCCUCGCCCGCU
rnacentral:tRNA from 1 species